AUGUGAAGCUCUUUCGAAGAGUCGAGUUGUUUGGGAAUGCAGCUCAAAAUGGGAGGUAAAUUUCAUCUAAAGCUAAAUAUUGGCCAGAGACCGAUAGCGCACAAGUAGAGUGAUCGAAAGAUGAAAAGCACUUUGGAAAGAGAGUCAAACAGUACGUGAAAUUGUUGAAAGGGAAGCGCUUGCAACCAGACUUGCCUUCGGUUGCUCAUCCGGGGUUUUGCCCGGUGCACUCNUUUGCAGUCAGGCCAGCAUCAGUCCGGGUGGUGGGAUAAAGGCCUUGGGAAAGUAGCUCCUCUCGAGGAGUGUUAUAGCCCUGUUGUGCAAUGCUGCCAGCUUGGGCUGAGGUCCGCGCUUCGGCUAGGAUGCUGGCGUAAUGGUUGUAAGCGGCCCGUCUUGAAACACGGACCAAGGAGUCUAACAUCUGUGCGAGUGUUUGGGUGUCAAACCCAUCCGCGUAAUGAAAGUGAACGGAGGCGGGACCCCCUCGGGGUGCAUCGUCGCCCGAUCCUGAUGUUUUCGGAUGGAUUUGAGUAAGAGCAUAGAUGUUGGGACCCGAAAGAUGGUGAACUAUGCCUGAAUAGGGUGAAGCCAGAGGAAACUCUGGUGGAGGCUCGCAGCGGUUCUGACGUGCAAAUCGAUCGUCAAAUUUGGGUAUAGGGGCGAAAGACUAAUCG
rnacentral:rRNA from 1 species